GACAUAGAUAGUAUGUGUUAAUGAAGGAGAAUUUCGACAUGACACUAGCCUGACACUACUGUAGUCUGGGCGUGUAUGACAACGACCUCAUUACAUGAGUGUUUCUAAUUCUGAUGCACAGUAGAAGAGGAUUAGAGAGAAUUGUUUCCGGUUAUGAUUCUGUAGGUUCUGUGCAUGUACUGUGUUCGAGUGAGGGGAGUGCAGAUCUCUUCAAUGCCCUAAAAAAAGCCAGCAACAUGUCAAAGCUAUCUGAGUGUGGUGGUUUGGCUGUCUACCUGUGACAGGCUUGCCUGUGCUGACUGAGCAGAGAGGAGGGCAGAAGGGGAGCUCUCACUGGAGUGAGACUAGAGAGAGGGCUUGGGAAAACAGGGCUGAGGGGCUGAUGGAGCUAACAGAGAUAUUUUGGUUUCUCAGGGGUCUGGGAGGAGGAGGUGUGAGGCCUUUGUUGGCCUGUCCAGUCAGCCUGUCAGGGAGAGAAGAAUCCUUACAAGCGCAGCGCGUGAGACCCUGGUUCACACUCAAUGGCCACACCGCAGGAAGCUGACAAUUUGACAUGCAAAGAGUGUUAGUCUGCUCUCGGACAGAGAUGGGGCAAUUGUUACAAGCCAAACUGCACGAAUGAACCGUGGACCUCAAACACGCAUGCUUUUACUUGUACACGCACACACAUGCACACACAUGCCCACACAUUCUCAAAAAAACACUAGUUCAUAUACAGAUUCAGACAUACUGAUAGCAGAGAAACGGUUAGAUGUUGGCAGUCAUAUACUGUAUCUCCUGUUAUGAACAAAAAUAUAAAUGCAACAUGCAUCAAUUGCACCGAUUUUACUGAGUUACAGUUCAAAUAAGGAAAUCAGUCAAUUGAAAUGAAUAAAUUAGGUCCUAAUCUAUUGAUUUCACAUGACUGGGUAGGCAUUCCUGCAGUCAGCAUGCCAAUUGCCACUCCCUCAAAACUUGAGACGUAUGUGACGUUGUGUGACAAAACUGCACAUUUUAAAGUGGCCUUUUAUUGUCCCCAGCACAAGGUGCACCUGUGUACGGAUCAUGCUGUUUAAUCAGCUACUUGAUAUGCCACACCUGUCAGGAGGAUGGAUUAUCUUGGCAAAAGAGAAAUGCUCACUAACAGGGAUGUAAACAAAUUUGUGCACAAAAUGUAAGAGAAAUUAGAUUUUUGUGGGUCUGGACAAUUUCUGGGAUAUUUUAUUUCAGCUCAUGAAACAUGGGACCAACACUUUAUAUGUUGCGUUUGUAUUUUUGUUCAGUAUUUUUUCACACAACACAAUGCCACAGAUGUCUCAAGUUUUGAGAGAGCGUGCAAUUGUCAUGCUGACUGCAGGAAUGUCCUCCAGAGCUGUUGCCAGAGAACUGAAUGUUAAAUUCUCUAUCAUAAGCUGCCUCCAACGUUGUUUUAGAGAAUUUGUCAGUACAUCCAACCAGACCACGUGUAUGGCGUCAUGUGGGCGACCGGUUUGGGGAUGUCAACGUUGUAAACAGAGUGCCCUAUGGUGGCAGUGGUGUUAUGGUAUGGGCAGGCAUAAGCUAUGGACAACGAGCACAAUUGCAUUUUAUCGAUGGCAAUUUGAAUGCACAGAGAUACUGUGAUCAGAUCCUGAGGCCCAUUGUCUCGCUAUUCAUCUGCUGCCAUCACUUCAUGUUUCAGCAUGAUAAUGCACGGCCUUAUGUCGCAAGGAUAUUUACACAAUUCCUGUGAGCUGAAAAUGUACCAGCUCUUCCAUGGCCUGCACACUCACCAGACAUGUCACCCAUUGAGCAUGUGUGGGAUGCUCUGGGUCGAUGUGUACAACAGCGUGUUACAGUUCCUGUCAAUAUCCAGCAACUUUACACAGCCAUUGAAGAGGAGUGGGACAACAUUCCAUAGGCCACAAUCAACAGCCUGAUCAACUCUAUGCGAAGGAGAUGUGUUGCGCUGCAUUAAACAAAUGGAGGUCACACCACAUACUGACUGGUUUUCUGAUCCACGCCCAAACCUUUUUCUAAAGGUACUGUAUCUGUGACCAACAGAUGCAUAUCUGUAUUCCCAGUCAUGUGAAAUCCAUAGAUUAGGACCUAAUGAAUUUAUUCCAAUUGACUGAUUUCCUCAUAUGAACUGUAACUGUAACUCUGUAAAAUCGUUGAAAUUGUUGGCUGUUGCGUUGAUAUUUUUGUUCAGUAUAUUUAUAUUGCAGUUUUGACAUGAACAUACAGUAACUAAGGCCUGGAGAGUUUCUGGUCAUGUCUCUGUCCCUAGCCGGGCUACAGUAACACUACACUAUAGUAUGAGCUGAGGAACAACAUCCUAACCGCUAUAUUAGCAGUUGUGAUCCUGACCUUGAGAGGGGCCAGAAACAGGGGGAGGAGGUGGAGGGGGAUGUUCACCUAUGCCCACACUGGGCCCAGGCUGGCUGGGGUUGGGGUGUGUAAAAGCUCUCUCACCCCCGGAGCUACUCAACUUCCUCUCCAAAGGCCCGGAUCAGCACUUAGCCUCUGAGAGGUCCCGCGCUUCGCCCCACAAUGGGAAAUUCUUACACAUAAAUGGGGUUAUUCAGAAAGGUUUCGAAGCAGCUGGUGCGAUCCGCUCAAGAAAAUAAACAUUUCCUUCAAAUAUUUUGAUUGGCUGGUGGACAACGUCAAUACCAGCGGCACAGAUUACCCCUGUUAAUAUGAGUCUCAGCCCCCUGGGUGGGGAUAGAGAUUGGGGGAAGGGGGUAGGUGCAUUAGGGGUAGAAGACGACGGCUGCGUCACAAAUAUGAACGUUUUUGGGGUGGCAUCAGUGAUGGCUGGGAAGACACAAAUAAACGCAUGCUCUGCUUUUUGAAGUGCAUUUGGAGAUGAAAGGGCCAAAAUGGCGUCUGUCCUCAUGACUCCGGAUUCGGCAGCGCCUCAGAGACAUGUAAUGCGCCUGUCGUAAUGAAGCGUGUCAUUGAGACACAGUGAAUGCUGGGCCUUGUGCUGGCUUCCUGUUUCGCUUAGGCCCUAGGCGUCACCACGGAGAGAUAGAAUGUGAGAGAGAGAGUGAGAGAGAGAGAGACGCCAGCGAGGAAGGGAGAGGGAGAGAGCGUGUUAAAGAGCGAGUGAGAGGGGAGGAACAUGGCCUUGGCUCAGCUAUGUGGGACAUUUGAUAUGUCUUUUGAGCCCUCACUUAAACAUGAGUAAAAACAAACACAUCGACUGAAAAAUCCUAUGUUCUAUUUGAAAGCCCCCUGCCCUGCCUCCCUUUCCCCUCUCCUCAGACUCAAUAGAGACUGUUCAUUGCGCACAUGUAGUUUCUGUAAUUGCUGAAAUGUAAAGCUCGACCCGGCUCUGAUGUUAAAUUAUAACUAACACAAACAGUUGAGUCUGGGGAAAAAAAGCUCUCUUUUCUCUUUUUCCAGCUUACUGUUUAGAGAUGGCUUCAAAAGAGUUUUUUUUAAAUUGGAGAACAAAAACAUUUUCAGUUUGAAUAAUUCAGAUCUAACUAAGGUCACAAAAACAGAGUAACCACAAGUGCAGCUCUUAGGCACCAUAACAAAUAAACCCCAUGGCGACCAUUGAUAUAUUAUGUAAAUACAGCGCUGGAGAAGUAAAACAGAAUCUCUCGUCGCUGGUCUGGAUUCCCGCUAGUUUUGGUUGCAUUUGGCCUGAGAGCUCCUUUCCUGUAUGGGUUUGGCACGGACCAGCAUGCAUUGCUGCCCAAAUGGAGCUUGGAGCCAACAGCAUCUCCACCAGACUCACAGCAUGGCCACCUCUCUCUGGUCUUGUCCUGACAGACAGUCAAUGACCCACAAACCAACACAAUAACCUAGUAAGCACAUCUGGUACUAAACAGAGACAUGGAGGCACGAUGCUUUGACCUUUCCCUCUAUAAGCAUGUGCUAUGUGCCCGGCUGCAUGUUCCAGGGACUGGCAUACUUGUGUCUUACAGUGACUCUUUGUUGGUUAUAAUUGGUUGAUAAUGUCCUGCUGGGUGUUGGUUUUGGUUUUGAGGUUUGAGGUAGACACAGAUCCAGGAUCAGAUUACCCAACUCCACAUCCUAACAUUUACCAUUAGGAGGAUUAAAUAAUAUCUGACCCUGGACUAGCGGUUAGGGGCUCUGGGUCUGAUCAGGGCUGUUAGUGGUAGACUGGAGCAGGCAUUCGCUUGGGGGGCCAGCCGGCUUGUUUAUGUGAAGUAAACAGUGUGGUCACUGUGGACAGGAGAGGAGGGGUAGGACCUCCCUCUAGCUAGCAGGACUUUCACAACCAGAGAGAAUCCGGGAUAGAUUCACCUGUUUGACCUUUCACCACAGCAGAACUGCUGCAGAUGUAUGCCAUUGUAUCUACGGUAACUACCAGUAAAUUGUUUUAUUUUGACCCCUGCUAUUUUGUAACCUAUACCAUACAGGUGCCACGGCUUAGCAUUCGACCUUGUGAACAGUAUUAUAUCAUUAAUACAACUAGAGUGUGUUUUAUCACUCACAGCCAACACACACACACACACACACACACACACACACACACACACACACACACACACACACACACACACACACACACACACACACACACACACACACACACACACACACACACACACACACACACACACACACACACACACACACACAGUUUAUUGGGCCCUCAUCAAAGCAGUGGAGCACUUGACUAGAUGGCCGAAAGGUAUGCUAGUAUCUGAUAUUCAUCUCCAGUCAGAAAAACACAGGUGUUGGAACAAAUAGCAUGUUAAAUGAUACUACCUCAAAAGGCAAAAUACUUUCUUUGGGAUGAUUCAAUUGCUGCUGUCUUUUUUUCUUAAAACACAUUUAAGUUAAAAGAGCAACUUUGUUCUGGUGAGCUUGUUUAGUUUAGUCUCCUUUUGAAAAGGGAAAGAGGAAAACUGAAAUCAGGAUUAUUUCUGUAGCAUCCCGUUGAGAUCAAAUCUUUUUUCCAUUUAAUCUUAACAUCUUUGUCUGGCUGGUAAGACUGGAAUGAGCUGUAGAUUUUAUACCCAGGGUGUGUUAAGGAGAUGGCAUUCUCUAAAAAUCAUUAAAACACACAUACACACACCACACACCUGACAUUUAGUAAACCAGAAUAACAAUUUUGUUGUCGAUUGUCUGAGUGUGAGAUUUGCUUGACUGCCCUGGCAGAGCCACACACACAGCUCCCCACACGCCCUCCCGUAGGAUCAUUCCUCACGGCAGCCUCACCUGUGGUCACGGCUGAACAAAAACAAGCGGCUAGCCGAGCAAGCGCAGUGUCUGCCAGGGCUUGAAUCCUGUCACUGCAUGCGCUGUAAUGAGCUCUUAAUUAUCCUGGCUGUCUAGAGCGCUAGCAGAGCUUGCAACAUUGGCACGUAACUGUGUGUGUGGUGUGUGUUUGUUAGAACAUACUGUGUGUGUGUUUGUUACCACAUACUGUGUGUGUGUGUACGUCUGAGAAUCCUGCGCAGCGUUUAGCAGACGUCUCAAAAGCGUUGUGUUGACAACAACUCUGUCUCUGUUUCAUGGCUCAGACAACAAUAUGAAGCAAAGGGCUUCACUAGGAGAUAUUGUAUUUUCUCACGUUGUCGUCAGCUGGAAAGUCCAGGUUUAUGUGUGGAUAAUGGAAAACAUUGUUUUUUUGCAACAGCAAGAUGGGAAUCAAUGUAAUUAUAAAGUGUUGACGCCUCACUCAAUCUAUUACCCUGUGAUCCUCCGCAAAAUACAUCUCUGCCUGCGACGACUGCCAAAAGCAGAGGCGUGUGUCGUGUUUAUGUGUAAAUACAUCCCUGUUUCCAAAUGUAUUUAUCACAAAAGGUACUAUUUUAGUUUGAGCCGGGUUUGUAGUUGUGUGUUGUCUAAGCUGGCAUGGAGAUGCCCAGGUUUAUAUGUCACUGGGUAGCUGAGAGGAGGGUGAAUGUAUCUUCAUAGUUAUUGAAUUAUUAUGCAUGGAGAUGCCCAGGUUUAUAUGUCACUGGGUAGCUGAGAGGAGGGUGAAUGUAUCUUCAUAGUUAUUGAAUUAUUAUGCAUGGAGAUGCCCAGGUUUAUAUGUCACUGGGUAGCUGAGAGGAGGGCGAAUGUAUCUUCAUAGUUAUUGAAUUAUUAUGCAUGGAGAUGCCCAGGUUUAUAUGUCACUGGGUAGCUGAGAGGAGGGUGAAUGUAUCUUCAUAGUUAUUGAAUUAUUAUGCAUGGAGAUGCCCAGGUUUAUAUGUCACUGAGUAGCUGAGAGGAGGGCGAAUGUAUCUUCAUAGUUAUUGAAUUAUUAUGCAUGGAGAUGCCCAGGUUUAUAUGUCACUGGGUAGCUGAGAGGAGGGUGAAUGUAUCUUCAUAGUUAUUGAAUUAUUAUGCAUGGAGAUGCCCAGGUUUAUAUGUCACUGGGUAGCUGAGAGGAGGGUGAAUGUAUCUUCAUAGUUAUUGAAUUAUUAUGCAUGGAGAUGCCCAGGUUUAUAUGUCACUGGGUAGCUGAGAGGAGGGUGAAUGUAUCUUCAUAGUUAUUGAAUUAUUAUGCAUGGAGAUGCCCAGGUUUAUAUGUCACUGGGUAGCUGAGAGGAGGGUGAAUGUAUCUUCAUAGUUAUUGAAUUAUUAUGCAUGGAGAUGCCCAGGUUUAUAUGUCACUGGGUAGCUGAGAGGAGGGUGAAUGUAUCUUCAUAGUUAUUGAAUUAUUAUGCAUGGAGAUGCCCAGGUUUAUAUGUCACUGGGUAGCUGAGAGGAGGGUGAAUGUAUCUUCAUAGUUAUUGAAUUAUUAUGCAUGGAGAUGCCCAGGUUUAUAUGUCACUGGGUAGCUGAGAGGAGGGUGAAUGUAUCUUCAUAGUUAUUGAAUUAUUAUGCAUGGAGAUGCCCAGGUUUAUAUGUCACUGGGUAGCUGAGAGGAGGGUGAAUGUAUCUUCAUAGUUAUUGAAUUAUUAUGCAUGGAGAUGCCCAGGUUUAUAUGUCACUGGGUAGCUGAGAGGAGGGUGAAUGUAUCUUCAUAGUUAUUGAAUUAUUAUGCAUGGAGAUGCCCAGGUUUAUAUGUCACUGGGUAGCUGAGAGGAGGGCGAAUGUAUCUUCAUAGUUAUUGAAUUAUUAUGCAUGGAGAUGCCCAGGUUUAUAUGUCACUGGGUAGCUGAGAGGAGGGUGAAUGUAUCUUCAUAGUUAUUGAAUUAUUAUGCAUGGAGAUGCCCAGGUUUAUAUGUCACUGAGUAGCUGAGAGGAGGGUGAAUGUAUCUUCAUUGUUAUUGAAUUAUUUUAGCACUAGCCUUGAGCUACAAAGUCAUGAUGGUAAUAUCAGAGAUUAAGGUGUGUGGUUUUACAGUCCUCCACGCACGCACGCACACACACAGAGACACAGAGACAGACAGACACACACUCUUCAGAGAGGGCCCCUAGCACCUAAUUUGGAGCUCUAUACCUCUCAUCCCUGGCGGCUCUGAGCCACAUUAAUGUGUUGUGUCUAUGUUGGAGGUGUGUGUGUUUGUGUGUGGGGGUUUGUGCAUAUAUAUACGCCCCACGUGUUUGUGAGCGUGCCGUGUGUGUGUGUGUGUGUGUGUGUGUGUGUGUGUGUGUGUGUGUGUGUGUGUGUGUGUGUGUGUGUGUGUGUGUGUGUGUGUGUGUGUGCGCGUGUGUGUUCUACUGGUGCAGGUCUUUGAGAUCUGACAGGCCUAUGAAGAAGUAAUUCCUGCCCUAAUCCUCCUGGAGCUAUGCAGACAAGUACAGAGCCUUUCUUCACAUGCCAUCCCAGCAUUGUCUGUACACCUCUCCUGCUAGACAGUUUGGAGAUAUUAAGAAAUCCCUUAUGGAUAAGUCCCUCUGGAUAAGCUUACCUGCCAUGGCCCUUCCAUUGGCAGACAACACGCAGUAAAGUACGUACAGAACCCAAACUUAAUAUCAUGAAAUGUAUAUUGUAUCUCUGUCUAAAUGCCAACUAAUCCUGGUCCUACUGGUCCACAGCACUGGCAGAUGGUUUUCCUUGGCCAUGUUCAGUACAUUACACUUAUAGAGAGACAACAGCAUCAGUUAAACUAAGUCCAAGCUGGUUCUGAUAACCACAGUUGUGUAAGCUGAGCUGUACGAUAGGUAGGUCCACAGUGGUGAGUCAGGAGCACAAGGCUAAACCCCAUGAGAGAUACACUUCCACCCACAGAUAGCAAAACACUCCUAAACACACUGAUAGAGACUCAUUAACUGGGAAGUAGCCUUACUCUGUCUGUCAGCCUUAACCCCCUGCAUGAGAACUAGGGAGUGGGUGGAAGAGGACAGCGUGUAUGUGUGUGUGCCUCGUGUGUGUCUGUUCGUGUUUUGUCUGCACACAUCCAGACAUGCCAUCACGUUAAGAAGCUCUGACACACAGUACCAGUCAAAAGUUUGUACACACCUACUCAUUCCAGGGGUUCUUUAUUUUUACUAUAUUCUACAUUGUAGAAUAAUAGUGAAGACAUCAAAACUAUUAAAUAACACAUAUGGAAUCAUGUAGUAACCAAAGAAGUGAUAAACAAAUCAAAAUAUAUUUUAUAUUUGAGAUUCUUCAAAGUAGCCACCCUUUGCCUUGACAGCUUUGCACACUCUUGGCAUUCUCUCAACCAGCUUCAUGAGGUAGUCACCUGGAAUGCAUUUCAAUUAACAGGUGUGCCUUGUUUAAAGUUAAUUUGAGGAAUUCUUUCCUCAAUGUGUUUGGGCCAAUCAGUUGUGUUGUGACAAUGUAGGGGUGGUAUACAGAAGAUAGCCCCAUUUAUGGCAAGAACAGCUCAAAUAAGCAAAGAGAAAUGACAGUCCAUCAUUACUUUAAGACAUGAACGUCAUUCAAUAUGGAACAUUUCAAGAACUUUGAAAGUUUCCUCAAGUGCAGUCGCAAAAACCAUUAAGCGCUAUCAUGAAACUGUCUCUCAUGAGGACCACCACAGGAAAGGAAGACCCAGAGUUACCUCUGCUGCAGAGGAUAAUACAUCCAUUAGAGUUAACUGCACCUCAGAUUGUAUCAAGUAUCAGACACAUCUCAACAUCAACUGUUCAGAGGAGACUGUGUGAAUCAGGCCUUAAUGGUCAAAUUGCCGCAAAGAAACCACUACGAAAGGACACCAAUAAGAAGAUACUUUCUUGGGCCAAGAAACACAAGCAAUGGAGAUUAGGCUGGUGGAAAUCUGUCCUUUGGUCUGAUGAGUCAAAACGUGAGAUUUUUGGUUCCAACCGCCAUGUCUUGGUAAGACGCAAAGUAGAUGAACGGAUGAUCUCCGCAUGUGUGGUUGCCACCAUGAAGCAUGGAGGAGGAGGUGUGAUAGUGUGGGGGUGCUUUGCUGGUGACACUGUCAGUGAUUUAUUUAGAAUUCAAGGCACACUUAACUAGCAUGGCUACCACAGCAUUCUGCAGCGAUACGCCAUCCCAUCUGGUUUGAGCUUAGUGGGACUAUCAUUUGUUUUUCAACAGGACAAUGACCCAAAACACACCUCCUGGCUAUGUAAGGGCUAUUUGACCAAGGAGAGUGAUGGAGUGCUGCAUCAGAUGACCUGGCCUCCACAAUCACCUGACCUCAACCCAAUUAAGAUGGUUUGGGAUGAGUUUUACCAUAGAGUGAAGGAAAAACAGCCAACAAGUGCUCAGUAUAUGUGGGAACUCCUUCAAGACUGUUGGAAAGGCAUUCCAGGUGAAGCUGGUUUAAAGCAUGCCAAGAGUGUGCAAAGCCAUCAUCAAGGCAAAUGGAAAAGAAUCUAAAAGAAGAAGAAUCUAAAAUAUCAAAUAUAUUUUAACUUGUUUAAAAAAUGUUGGUUACUACCUGAUUCCAUAUGUGUUAAUUCAAAGUUUUGAUGUCUUCACUAUUAUUCUACAAUGUAGAAAAUAGUACAAAUAAAGAAACCCUUAAAUGAGCAGGUGUGUCCAAACUUUUGACUGGUACUGUAUGUCUGAGAGCAAACUUCCACCCACGUACCCCCUCUCCCCUAAGACACACACACCUCCUUCCCGCUGUCUCCAUUGCAGAUCUGCCCUGUUGUGCCAGUCAGUCUGAGACUGACGUGAUUGCGGAGGAAGCGGGCGGCUGUGAGAUUCCUGAGGCUGUAGAGUGGUGUGGUGAACCAGCUCCAGCCCCAGUGCCUUGGCCAGGCUGUUUGGCAGUGAUCAGGUUGCCACCUGGCCCCAGACUGGACCCUGUGACCGAUGCAGGGCAUCCGGGGACAGAGCUGGCAUGAGUGUGCGGCCCCUGCCAGUAAAUGUAUUGGACCCUCCCCCGGGUCUGGGCUCUCAUAUCAGUAGGGAGGGUUAUACUCAACCUGGGGCUUCAGCCUGCCACAUACAGGCUAACUCAGCCCAUAAAGUGAGAACAACACUGUCAGUUCAUUAUGUGUCACAGUCAGACCAUACAGGCUAACUCGGCUCAUAACACCACAGCCAUGAGCUGUUCACUCCCUUACCGUCAGGGCAGAUGAUAUUGGAGCAUGAGGUCUGAUACAGGCUCAGAGACAGUUUCUAUCUACAAGCCAUCAGACUGCUGAACGCUUGAACUGGACUGACCAAAUGGACCACCUGGACUGACCCCUGACUCUCUACACCUUAGCAAGCAUUCACACACACAUAAACUCCUGUAUUAUACUUAUUCCAAAAGGUUUAUUCUAUUCUACUGAGCCAUUUACUUUAUGUUCCUAUUCUUCUCUUUUAUUACUUCUUAAUGUUUUUUCAUUGUCCAGAAGGAAGCUGCAAGUAACCAUUUACUUGUAGUGUAUACCAUGUGUAUCCUGUACAUACGACUAAUAAAACUUGAAACUGAUAGCAAAGUCAGCUCUCACUGUCGGCAGGGAGAAGCAUUUGUACCGCUAACCCCUGUAUACAGUGCUGUAGCAGAAGGUGGAGUGUUUUGUGAUGAGUGAGCAACACUGACUUGGGACAGAUGGUGUGAGUGAGUCAGUGUGAUAGUUGUUCCUGUCUGGUCA